ACUUCCUGGCAAUGAGCAAAGAGACACGGUGUUGGCGAUGAUGUUCUUCUAUCAGUCAGGGCCAGAGCAGAUGGCAGUCCUUUGUUCAUCCUAGCCUGAUGUCUGGCUUGGUGGUCAAAGCUAUUUUAUGCUUAGGACUCAUAA